GCGCCCGUAGCUUAACGGAUAGAGCAAGUGGUUUCUACCCACUAGGUUGGGGGUUCGAUUCCCUCCGGGCGUA
rnacentral:tRNA from 1 species